AACGAACGCUGGCGGCAUGCCUAACACAUGCAAGUCGAACGUGAUCCGGGGCUUGCUCCGGUGAAAGUGGCGGACGGGUGAGUAACGCGUGGGAACCUGCCCAGUGGUCGGGGAUAACUGCGGGAAACUGCAGCUAAUACCCGGUAAGCCCUCGAGCGUUGGCUUGGGGGGAAAGAUUGAUCGCCAUUGGAGGGGCCCGCGUCGGAUUAGGUAGUUGGUGGGGUAACGGCCUACCAAGCCUACGAUCCGUAGCUGGUCUGAGAGGAUGAUCAGCCACACUGGGACUGAGAUACGGCCCAGACUCCUACGGGAGGCAGCAGUGGGGAAUAUUGGACAAUGGGCGCAAGCCUGAUCCAGCAAUGCCGCGUGAG
rnacentral:rRNA from 1 species